GUCCCGUUUUUGAAAUAUUAGCUUCAGAAAGUGCCUCUAUGAUGAAAAGCUCUGAACUUGAAAAGGAGCUUGUUCAAGCACCACCAAGCGCUGGAAUGAUAAGGAAGUGAGCAGCUUUGCUCAGCCAUGUCCAUUUCACCAAGAUAUGUGCCUCACCUCAGACUUAGAGAAACAGGACCAAGGAACCAUGUAUGCAAAUCUCUGAAAAUACCAUCCAAGGCUACUUCGUCAUUUCAAAACAAACUGCCCACGUAUUUACCGUGUUUGUCACCAAGAAUUAAGAUUUGAUCACAUUUGUGAAGCUAUGAAGGAUUGAAUCUCGAACAUUUCUUUACUGUGUUUAUUAAAGGAGUUACCGAGAACAAAUAUGAAGAGGAAGAGAAGGUAGAACAUGACAAGACUCUCUUAAAGUGGGCAAAUUUCUUCAUACCAUAGUCUACAAAUAUGAGAGAAAUCAGCCUUUUGCAGGAUGAUGCUGUGUUUGGAAAAUGUGUUUCCAUAGCCCCUACAAGAGAUUGCAUCUUGCUUAAGGGAGUAGAAGGCAUCAUAACCUGUUUCUUUGAAGAGCAAAUCAAAUAAGAAGCCUUUUCAA